rnacentral:rRNA from 1 species
GGGGUGCUCGAGUGGCGAACGGGUGAGUAACACGUGAGUAACCUGCCCUUGACUUUGGGAUAACUUCAGGAAACUGGGGCUAAUACCGGAUAGGAGCUCCUGCUGCAUGGUGGGGGUUGGAAAGUUUCGGCGGUUGGGGAUGGACUCGCGGCUUAUCAGCUUGUUGGUGGGGUAGUGGCUUACCAAGGCUUUGACGGGUAGCCGGCCUGAGAGGGUGACCGGCCACAUUGGGACUGAGACACGGCCCAG